AGAAUCAACGCUGGCGGCGUGCCUAACACAUGCAAGUCGAACGAGAAAGUGGGAGCAAUCCCAUGAGUAAAGUGGCGCACGGGUGAGUAACACGUGACUAACCUACCCUUGAGUGGGGGAUAACCUAGGGAACCUGGGCUAAUACCGCAUAAUACCUACGGGUCAAAGGAGCAAUUCGCUUUAGGAGGGGGUCGCGGCAGAUUAGUUAGUUGGCGGGGUAAUGGCCCACCAAGACAGUGAUCUGUAUCCGGCCUGAGAGGGCGCACGGACACACUGGAACUGAAACACGGUCCAGACUCCUACGGGAGGCAGCAGUGGGGAAUUUUGCGCAAUGGGGGAAACCCUGACGCAGCAACGCCGCGUGGAGGAUGAAGCCCCUUGGGGCGUAAACUCCUUUCGAUCGGGAAGAUAAUGACGGUACCGGAAGAAGAAGCCCGGCUAACUUCGCGCCAGCAGCCGC
rnacentral:rRNA from 1 species